ensembl:lncRNA
UGGAGUUCGGUGUGUAGUUCACUGGUAGUUCGGUGUGUAGUUCACUGGUAGUUCGGUGUGUAGUUCACUGGUAGUUCGGUGUGUAUUUCACUGGUAGUUCGGUGUGUAGUUCACUGGUAGUUCGGUGUGUAGUUCACUGGUAGUUCGGUGUGUAGUUCACUGGUAGUUCGGUUCAGUGAGUUGCGCUGUGUGUGUGUGUGUGUUGAGCUGUGUGUGUGUGUGUUGCACUGUGUGUGUGUGUUGCACUGUGUGUGUGUGUUGAGCUGUGUGUGUGUGUGUUGCACUGUGUGUGUGUGUUGAGCUGUGUGUGUGUUGCACUGUGUGUGUUGAGCUAAUCAGUCACAGGUGUUUGUGUGUUUCCAGGCAGUGUGUUAAUUAUUUUCUAUUCUAUUAAUAGCCUGUAAUCUGCACCCUGUUCAGAGUGAGGAACGUACUUUCACUCACACUCUCAGCUCAACACACACACACUCUCUCACACACACACACACACACACACACACACUCUCUCAGCUCAACACGCACACACACACACUCAGCUCAACUCGCGCACACACACACACACUCAGCUCAACUCGCACACACUCAGCUCAAAACACACUCUCUCGCACACACACACACACACACACACACACUCUCUCUCAGCUCAACACGUACACACACCACCACACUCUCAGCUCAACAUGCACACACACAAACACACACACUCUGCUCAACUCGCGCACACACACACACACACUCAGCUCAACAUGCACACACUUUAAUGUACUGCACUCAGGCUGCCGAAUAUUGUAAAAGCCAAUUAUUUGUUUAAUUCUCUGAACUCAUCUCUCAUAUAUAAGAAAGAUAAUACAGGACUCAUGUGCUCUCGCUCUCUCGCUCUCUCUCUCUCUCUCUCUCUCGCUCUCAGGCACUUCACCCAUUAAACUACUUCUACUGUGCUUCCUCUUCUUUCUCUCAUCCUUCUUUUUCUCCCUGUCCUAUUCAUCAUCCGUCUCCUUCUAUUCUGACUCUCCUCCUCCUCAUUCUUCUGCUCCUCCUCUCUUAGUCUCCUCCUACUCCUCCUUAC